GACUGCGUAGCUCAGUUGGCAGAGCAUUGGACUAGUAUUCCAAAGGUCGUGGAUUCGAUUCCCACCGUGGACA